CAACGUUGACGAUGUUUGAUUGAUGAAGUGCUGGAAACUAAAAUUAAUUUUCUUUACAAUUUGGUUUCAGGCUAUCUUUAUAAUUUUUUAUUAGUUUUGCGUUUGUUUAGAGUCCGCAAGCUCGUAGCUGAUUUCCUCCUUUAGAUACCGCCUGUCGACGGUUUGACAGCCUCACACAAUUGAACGUAUGCCAAAAAGCCAAAGUGAGCUCUUCCGAUCAGAAAAGUGACGGCGUAUCCAUUUAAUUGAAAAUAGGCACAAGAUAACGCACAAUUGGCGUUCUUGCCUCAAUGGAGAAAUUUUUCCGUGGAACUUAUGACCGAAAUACCAUUGCAGCUGUUCAAAAAAAAAGAAAAGUGUAUUAUCAUGCAGAUGUUGACUAGCUAACAAUCCAGAGAUACGUCAACUUGCGAAAUUUCUAGAUGUGUGUGAAGCGCAAUCAGCAUCCUUGUUGAACUGUGAACCCAAAUCAUGUAUUUUCCUAGAAAUAUCUAGGUUUUUGGAUAAAUAAAUAAAAGUCAGUGAAAAAAUGUGA